CAGCGCAGCCUUGUUAUUAUUAUAAUUCAGAGUCACUGGAGUUCGCUGCUUUUCUCUCGCACGGGGCGUUUUCAGGAAAUGUGUAUGUAGUCUGUCAGAGCUGCGUUUUAAGGUGGACUGGACUCUUUGUGACUGUCAACUACAGUAUGCUCGCUUCUGCUUUUGUAAUAUGCAGAUUGUGUUGGGAUUUUUUUUUCGGAAAAUAUGUUCUUUGGGUGAGUUUUCUGGCCACAGCAGGAAAUAUAAUGUAAAACCUCCCCUAAUAGCUUCCAUAAUAUAUAUUACCAUGUUUUUGUAACUCCCUAUAAUCUGGCUCUGAUUUCCACUAUUACUGUAUGCAGUUGUAAACCUACAUUUAAAGCUAUACUUAAGCUGAAUAUCAUACAGUACAGCAGUGGUGCCCAACCUUUUUCCUUAAGGGACCCCUCUUCUAUCAUUUAGUAAACUGACGACCCCUGAUUAAAUGACAUAUUUUAUAUAUAUAUUUCAUUUUACAUUCCGAACUGUACAAUGAACCUAAACAGUGAAUUCAGAAACUGCAAGAAGUUUGUGUAAACGAGGGAUUUGGAUGAAUUCUGAGCAGAUUACUUUCUGUUUAGGGAACAUUUUAUACAAUUCUCUGUCUGUAUUAUGUAUUUUUUUAUUAUUUUUUUUGUUAAGAAUCAUACGGACUUACUCGGCUACGUUUUUUGACAAAUUCAGUGUUUUCGUGUCCCUGACGUUUGGCCAUUCUUCUGUUAGACAAUUAAUUGACUUAUUUUUCUUCACAGAAGUGAACCAAAUGCUGAGAUAUGGGCCUACUGUGUAUAUUUUUUAAGUUUUCUAGCACAGCUUAAAAUCAAGAAGGCCUCGCUACCCCCUAGUGGGGCUCCAUACCCAACUGUACAGAGCCCAAAAAACUAACACAUAACACAAACGGCCACAAAGUUAGUGUGGGGACUUCCAGCAGAUUAUGGAUUUGCUCCCAUUCAGCUAGAAGAGCAUUAGAUGGGCCACUGAUGUUGGUCGAUGUUCCCCCUCCAAGGUGUCCAGUGGGCUUGAAUAUCUUCCACACUGAACUGGAAAACAAUUUCUUUACAGGCCUGGCUUUGUGCAUAGGGGCAUUGUCAUGUUGAAACAGGAAAGGGCCUUCCCCAAACUGCUGCCACAACACUGGAAGAACACUAUUGUCUCAACUAUCACUGUGUGCUGCAGAAUUAGGACUUCCCUUUAAAUUUCUUGGAACUAAGGAGCCUAACCCAAAUCAUGGAAAACCGCCCUAUUGACCGAAAGCAUUCAGAUGUAUGUAGACAGAUGUGUCCACAUACAUUUAGACAUGUAAUGCAUUUCUAAGCAGGUUUUGAGCGUGCAGUGCAGUCACAUUGGCAAAAUCAGUCCGCAUGCAUACACAAAUUCUCUUGAAUUUUGAAUGUGCAGUUGAUGGACACUAUGGGAUAACAUUAAUGGGAAUCAAUGUUAACAUCUUGUGCUGUCAUGAGCACAAGCCUCUUGUGAGUAUGAGUAGACCCUUCUGCACGGUUAUACACAGAAAGAAAGUAGUUACUGCAUGGAACUGCUCACAACAAGGUCUGUGGAUUAUCCUGAGUACCCGGGUGAUGACUCCUGGAAAGAACAUUGCUGUUGAGUUUUUAAAAUGUAUUUUUUUGGCUCUUUGUAUACCACAAGCCAAGUGCCAUCUUAUUCCAUUAUAUUGGAGAGAGGGCUGUAGAGAUGUCGGAUCUCCACGGCUGAUAUCUCCAAAGCAACUCACGCCAAAACAAUCUUCUAGAUAAAUAGCAUAACAGUGAAUAGGGAAAAUAUGUAUUUUUCAUUUUGGGGUGAACUGUUCCGGUAAGCCCGCCUUUUAGCAUUUAUAAGCAGCAUUUAAACAAUUAAUAAAUGGUUUAUAACACACUCUAA